UACGGGGGGAGCAAGCGUUGUUCGGAUUUACUGGGCGUAAAGGGCGCGUAGGCGGUCAGCACAAGUCAGUUGUGAAAUCUCCGGGCUUAACCGGAAAGGUCAACUGAUACUGUGCGACUAGAGUGCGGAAGGGGCAACUGGAAUUCUCGGUGUAGCGGUGAAAUGCGUAGAUAUCGAGAGGAACACCUGCGGCGAAGGCGGGUUGCUGGGCCGACACUGACGCUGAUGCGCGAAAGCCAGGGGAGCGAACGGG
rnacentral:rRNA from 1 species